rnacentral:rRNA from 1 species
UACGGAGGGUGCGAGCGUUAUUCGGAAUUACUGGGUUUAAAGGGUGCGUAGGCGGCUAUGUAAGUCAGGAGUGAAAGUUUGCGGCUCAACCGUAAAAUUGCUUUUGAUACUGCAUGGCUGGAAUUAGGAUGAGGUUAGCGGAAUGUGGCAUGUAGCGGUGAAAUGCAUAGAUAUGCCAUAGAACACCAAUUGCGAAGGCAGCUGGCUAGACCUGGAUUGACGCUGAGGCACGAAAGCGUGGGGAGCGAACAGG